rnacentral:sRNA from 1 species
ACAUCACUGGAGAAUGUAAAGGGUUGCAUAUUUAUCUUUAAGGUUCUCCGGGAGAAACGGCAUUUAGAGCAACAGAUCAUGGAUCUGAAAGUGACAAGCAUUUUAGAAAGGUGUCAGACAAAGAGAAAAUUGACCAACUUCAGGAAGAACUUCUGCACACUCAGUUAAAGUAUCAGAGAAUCUUGGAACGAUUAGAAAAGGAGAACAAAGAAUUGAGAAAAUUAGUAUUGCAGAAAGAUGACAAAGGCAUUCAUCAUAGAAAGCUUAAGAAAUCUUUGAUUGACAUGUAUUCUGAAGUUCUUGAUGUUCUCUCUGAUUAUGAUGCCAGUUAUAAUACGCAAGAUCAUCUGCCACGGGUUGUUGUGGUUGGAGAUCAGAGUGCUGGAAAGACUAGUGUGUUGGAAAUGAUUGCCCAAGCUCGAAUAUUCCCGAGAGGAUCUGGGGAGAUGAUGACACGUUCUCCAGUUAAGGUGACUCUGAGUGAAGGUCCUCACCAUGUGGCCCUAUUUAAAGAUAGUUCUCGGGAGUUUGAUCUUACCAAAGAAGAAGAUCUUGCAGCAUU